rnacentral:rRNA from 1 species
AUACACAGCCAUAUGCCACUUUAUUACAGCCCACUGGAGCUAAGCAGGCUUGAGCUGGUCAGUAUCUGGAUGGGAGACCCCUGGGAAAACUAGGCUGCUGCUGUAUA